UCCAUGGUUGCUACCAGCAGUCACCUCUCCUUAUCUGACGUUGCUGCUUCCCUGUGCUGCAGCUGCUGCUGCCCUCCCACCUCACACAAAUCCCUGCCCACCGUUAGCAGCUGGAUGGCAUCCCUCCUGCAGGAUUCUUCCAAGGAUAUCCUCCAAAAACAGGAGGUGAAUGCUUAAAACCAAACCUCCAGAGCAGGGAGCAGCCGUGCUUAUGUCAGUGAUCAGACAGGUCACAAGGCCUGCACAAAGCCCACGUGGCACAAGUAACAGGAAGCACAUCUAUGAUGCCCCCAGUUUGCUGCUUAUGGUAAAGGGGAGAUUCUGCUAACGGGAGGGCUCAAACACCACAGCACAGGGAACAACAAACUCCAGCUGGGGUAGAAACUGCUGCACAACGGGGAGCAAAGCUGCAGCUGUUAGCACACGUGAAGUCUUGGUAGUGCUGAGACCCCACGUCAGCCCAGCAUCCCAUUACUUACUGCCUCCUUCUCUCGGUCCAUAAUGGUUUCCAGCUCCUCGAAAUGGCGAAGCUUUAUCUCCAGCUUCUUCAUCUGCGUUUCCACCAGGAGAGCAACCAGGGACUUGAUUUUUCUUUCUUCCACUGCUGCUAGGUGCUGAGAAUAAAACACAGAGCUCUG